UAUUACUAAUGUUAAAAUGGGUUAUUAUACUAACGCGUGUGCAUUGUUUAUUUAAUUAGAUUAUAACCAGGGAAUCACAAAGGAAAGCCCUAUAAUAGCAAUGUGAGUGAUCCUUCUUUUUAUGAACUCAUUUUUGUAACUUAGUGUAAAGCCAAUAGAAGCCAGCUGGAGAGCACUGAAGACUUGGAAAAGUGGCAAUAAAGUUACCUAAAAUAAAAUAGAUGUUUUUAUUAAAUUAAAUAGGAUUUAUUCCUAUAAAAAUGUAUGUACUGCAAAACUUGGGUUUUAUCCCAUGUGUUUAAUAUUAUGAAAAUAAGGUGGUUUUACU
rnacentral:lncRNA from 1 species